rnacentral:rRNA from 1 species
CGCGGCCUAUCAGCUUGUUGGUGAGGUAGUGGCUCACCAAGGCGACGACGGGUAGCCGGCCUGAGAGGGCGACCGGCCACACUGGGACUGAGACACGGCCCAGACUCCUACGGGAGGCAGCAGUGGGGAAUAUUGCACAAUGGGCGCAAGCCUGAUGCAGCGACGCCGCGUGAGGGAUGACGGCCUUCGGGUUGUAAACCUCUUUCAGCAGGGAAGAAGCGCAAGUGACGGUACCUGCAGAAGAAGCACCGGCUAACUACGUGCCAGCAGCCGCGGUAAUACGUAGGGUGCGAGCGUUGUCCGGAAUUAUUGGGCGUAAAGAGCUUGUAGGCGGUUUGUCGCGUCUGCUGUGAAAAUCCGGGGCUCAACCCCGGGCUUGCAGUGGGUACGGGCAGGCUAGAGUGUGGUAGGGGAGACUGGAAUUCCUGGUGUAGCGGUGAAAUGCGCAGAUAUCAGGAGGAACACCGAUGGCGAAGGCAGGUCUCUGGGCCACUACUGACGCUGAGAAGCGAAAGCAUGGGGAGCGAACAGGAUUAGAUACCCUGGUAGUCCAUGCCGUAAACGUUGGGAACUAGGUGUGGGUCUCAUUCCACGAGAUCCGUGCCGCAGCUAACGCAUUAAGUUCCCCGCCUGGGGAAUCACUA